rnacentral:lncRNA from 13 species
AUGAUUAGGACACCUGCAGGUGGCAGACAGACCCCACUACGCCGAGGCUUUUUGAAGAACCAGGAAAACGAAGAAUGCCGAGCGCCGCAGCCCCAAACUGAGCCAAACGUUGACCGACAUCACAAGAAAUAUUGAAUUUGUGUGUCCUCCGGUAAUUUAAUGAGGCUUUACCAGAAGAUAAUUUUUUCCAGAAAUUGGAACUUUUUACCUUACAAAUUUUUUGUAACAAUUGGAAGGACCUUUGUGCCACUGUCUUUGAGGGUUUGAUGCCUGUUUUUAAUUAGCUUUUUGUUCACCCCUUCACUGGCCCACCCCACUCAGAGCUUUCAUCAAUUUCUUCUGGACUGUUAAGAAGAGCCUACGUGAUUAAUCAGGUGAGAUUCCUGAUCAGCAUUAGGACUGAUUAAAAGAAAACAAUUACCAGAUGAAACAAAGAAAGGAAAAGGGAACAAAAAAAGCUCUUCCUGGGCCAUCUUCUCACUUUUCUUUAUGUCACCAGAGAGAAGCAUUUAACCCAAAUUUCAACAUUUAGAAUAGGCUAAGGGAGUGUAGAAACAUUAUUGUUUUGACAUAAAACAUCAUAACCUUAGCAAAAAGUGCUUAGAUCAAAUUGGUUUAUGGCCUCUAAGGAGAGACUGUUGUCCAACAACUCUUCUCCAGAAAAAAGCAAUUUUCUGUGUCAGAUUAUCACUCUUAUUUGCAUCUACAUUCAGAGUAUAACCAUGCGUGGGAGCUUAAUAAGUGGAUGAAAUCUGUUUCUGAAGUACUGUUUCUGAUAAAGAAUAUUUUAAGAUAGGUCUUAUUGUGAAAUUAUUUCCACUUUUGUUCUGUGAUGAGAAUAUAAUAGACAUAGACAGUUAAUCCCUAAAGACAAGGUUUUAGCAUCCAAUUUACCUGACAAGAUUUUCCUUGUCCCCAAGUUUCUUGCAAAGUUGCAUAUGCAAUUCUUCCAUCUACAGCCUUGGGCUUCUUUUGCAACACAGACUCCCUUUGUCUUCUCUCACCAGAACCUCUUUCCAAACACAUAAGGAAUAAUAAAAUGAAACAUAACCAGUCA